AGAGAUUGAAUCAAGGGCAGACGGUGGAUGCCUUGGCACAGAGAGGCGAUGAAGGACGUACUAGGCUGCGAUAAGCCGCGGGGAGCUGCCAAGAAGCUUUGAUCCGCGGAUUUCCGAAUGGGGCAACCCGGCUGGCUUAACGGCCAGUCACUCCUUUUAGGAGAGCGAACCCGGGGAAGUGAAACAUCUCAGUACCCGGAGGAAAAGAAAUCAACCGAGAUUCCCAAAGUAGCGGCGAGCGAAAUGGGAUUAGCCCGGUCAGUGAUAGCACAGUGGAUAGUAGAAGGAUCUGGAAAGUUCCGCCAUAGAGGGUGAGAGUCCCGUAUACGAAAUCCAUUGUGUGGUACUAGGCUGACGAACGAGUAGGUCGGGACACGAGAAACCCUGACUGAAGAUGGGAGGACCACCUUCCAAGGCUAAAUACUACUCUGUGACCGAUAGUGCACAAGUACCGUGAGGGAAAGGUGAAAAGAACCGCGGUAAGCGGAGUGAAAUAGAACCUGAAACCGUCUGCCUACAAUCAUUCAGAGCCCUAUGUUCUUCGGAACAGGGUGAUGGACUGCCUUUUGCAUAAUGAGCCUGCGAGUUGUGGUCACUAGCGAGGUUAAGCACACGCGAAGCCGUAGCGAAAGCGAGUCUGAACAGGGCGAAUAGUUAGUGGCUGCAGACCCGAAACUAAGUGAUCUAUCCAUGGGCAGGUUGAAACCGGUGUAAGAGCCGGUGGAGGACCGAACCGGUGGAGGUUUAAAACUCCUCGGAUGACCUGUGGAUAGGGGUGAAAGGCCAAUCAAACUUAGUGAUAGCUGGUUCUCUCCGAAAUAUAUUUAGGUAUAGCCUCAUGUUCGAAGCACAGGGGGGUAGAGCACUGAUUCGGCUAGGGCCGUACACCAAGGUACCAAACCGAGUCAAACUCCGAAUACCCUGUGUGGAUUCAUGGGAGUCAGGCCCUGGGUGAUAAAAUCCAGGGUCGAAAGGGAAACAGCCCAGACUACCAGCUAAGGUCCCCAAGUCCUACUUAAGUGGAAAAGGAGGUGGGGUUGCUUAGACAACCAGGAGGUUGGCUUAGAAGCAGCCAUCCUUUAAAGAAAGCGUAACAGCUCACUGGUCUAGCGAUCCUGCGCCGAAAAUAUAACGGGGCUAAAGUAGGCACCGAAGCUGUAGGUUCUCACUGAUGUGAGAGCGGUAGGAGAGCGUUCUUGUCAGCGUUGAAGGUGUACCGGUAAGGAGCGCUGGAGCGGCAAGAAGUGAGCAUGCAGGCAUGAGUAGCGAUAAAACAGGUGAGAAUCCUGUUCGCCGAAAACCCAAGGUUUCCUACACGAUGCUCGUCAAUGUAGGGUUAGUCGGGUCCUAAGCCGAGUCCGAAAGGGGUAGGCGAUGGCAAAUCGGUUAAUAUUCCGAUACCGGCUAUGGCGCGCGAUGGGGGGACGCAUAGGGCUAAGCGAGCUCACUGAUGGAAUAGUGGGUCGAAGGGUGUAGGCCGCCAUCCAGGUAAAUCCGGAUGGCAGUAAGGCCGAGACCUGACAGGCCCCCUGAAGCCUUCGGGCGGAAGGGGGAAGUCGCUGAUGCCGUCGUGCCGAGAAAAGCCUCUAAGUAUAGCCAUAGUCGCCCGUACCGUAAACCGACACAGGUGGGUGAGAUGAGUAUUCUAAGGCGCGUGGAAGAACCCUGGUUAAGGAACUCUGCAAACUAGCACCGUACCUUCGGAAUAAGGUGUGCCUCCUCGGGUGAAGCUCCUUGCGGGUGGAGCCUGAGAGGUUGCAACAAAGAGUCCCUCCCGACUGUUUAUCAAAAAACACAGCACUAUGCUAACUCGUAAGAGGAUGUAUAUGGUGUGACGCCUGCCCGGUGCCGGAAGGUUAAGUGAUGGGGUUAGCCCUUUGGGCGAAGCUCCUGAUCGAAGCCCCGGUAAACGGCGGCCGUAACUAUAACGGUCCUAAGGUAGCGAAAUUCCUUGUCGGUUAAAUACCGACCUGCAUGAAUGGCGUAACGAGAUGGGAGCUGUCUCGACCAGGGAUCCAGUGAAAUUGUAGUGGAGGUGAAAAUUCCUCCUACCCGCGGCAAGACGGAAAGACCCCGUGGACCUUUACUACAGCUUGACACUGCAAUCGGGAUAUACAUGUGCAGGAUAGGUGGGAGGCUUUGAAGCCAGGGCGCCAGCCCUGGUGGAGCCGUCCUUGAGAUACCACCCUUGUAUAUUCUGGUUGCUAACUUGCGCCAGUUAUCCUGGCGGAGGACAAUGUCUGGUGGGUAGUUUGACUGGGGCGGUCGCCUCCUAAAAAGUAACGGAGGCUUACAAAGGUUGGCUCAUGGCGGUUGGAAAUCGCCAGUAGAGUAUAAUGGUAUAAGCCAGCUUGACUGAGAGACACACAAGUCGAUCAGAGACGAAAGUCGGUCAUAGUGAUCCGGUGGUUCUGUGUGGAAGGACCAUCGCUCAAAGGAUAAAAGGUACCCCGGGGAUAACAGGCUGAUCUCCCCCAAGAGCUCACAUCGACGGGGAGGUUUGGCACCUCGAUGUCGGCUCAUCGCAUCCUGGGGCUGAAGCAGGUCCCAAGGGUAUGGCUGUUCGCCAUUUAAAGCGGUACGCGAGCUGGGUUCAGAACGUCGUGAGACAGUUCGGUCCCUAUCUGCCGUGGGCGUUGGAAGAUUGAGGAGAGUUGCCCCUAGUACGAGAGGACCGGGGUGAACGAACCACUGGUGUACCAGUUGUCCUGCCAAGGGCACCGCUGGGUAGCUAUGUUCGGAUGUGAUAACCGCUGAAAGCAUCUAAGCGGGAAGCCAACUCCAAGAUGAAUCUUCCCUGAAGGUCCGUCGAAGACUACGACGUUGAUAGGCUGGAUGUGUAAGCGAUGAAAGUCGUUUAGCUGACCAGUACUAAUAGACCGUUUGAAAUCUCUUG
rfam:Nitratifractor salsuginis DSM 16511, complete genome.